GACGAACGCUGGCGGCGUGCUUAACACAUGCAAGUCGAACGGAAAGGCCCUGCUUUUGUGGGGUGCUCGAGUGGCGAACGGGUGAGUAACACGUGAGUAACCUGCCCUUGACUUUGGGAUAACUUCAGGAAACUGGGGCUAAUACCGGAUAGGAGCUCCUGCUGCAUGGUGGGGGUUGGAAAGUUUCGGCGGUUGGGGAUGGACUCGCGGCUUAUCAGCUUGUUGGUGGGGUAGUGGCUUACCAAGGCUUUGACGGGUAGCCGGCCUGAGAGGGUGACCGGCCACAUUGGGACUGAGAUACGGCCCAGACGCCUACGGUAGGCAGCAGUGGGGAAUAUGGCACAAUGGGCGGAAGCCUGAUGCAGCAACGCCGCGUGCGGGAUGACGGCCUUCGGGUUGUAAACCGCUUUCGCCUGUGACGAAGCGUGAGUGACGGUAAUGGGUAAAGAAGCACCGGCUAACUACGUG
rnacentral:rRNA from 1 species